UACGGAGGGGGGCUAGCGUUAUUCGGAAUUAUUGGGCGUAAAGGGCGCGUAGGCGGCCCGGUAAGUCAAAGGUGAAAUCCCUCGGCUCAACUGAGGAACUGCCUUUGAAACUGUCGGGCUUGAGGCCGGGAGGGGGUAGCGGAAUUCCCAGUGUAGCGGUGAAAUGCGUAGAUAUUGGGAGGAACACCGGUGGCGAAGGCGGCUACCUGGACCGGUUCUGACGCUGAUGCGCGAAAGCGUGGGUAGCAAACAGG
rnacentral:rRNA from 1 species